AAGGUUUCCAUGUAGCUUUAUUUAGACAUUGACAAUACCUGGUUAACAUUGGUUGGGUUUGGUUAUUUGAUUUUGAUUUUUCUGUGUGUGUCCUCAGCAUUGCUAAAUUGUGUGCAGGUCUUUUUCCUAUGACUUCAGACGCAGACAGGAAGCUAGCAGUAUAUUUUAUUCUUUCUCUUCACUGCCAGAAACAUCCAAGGAGGGGAGAUUUUCGAACGUGCAUACACACGAACAUUUGUCUGAAACCAACACCAUCCUGGCAUCUCAGUAAAAAGCAAAACAACUGUCUGAAAUAAAUGACGGUACGUUAAGAUUUGCAGUACCUGUUUUGCAAUAGAUCACUAGCUGUUAAAUGGUUUACUUUUCCAAUAGAUAGGUAUAUUAAACCAGCUUAGAUGCUUGUAUUAGACCCCAAGAAUUAAAAUUUAAGUAUCGUUGGAGAUGUUUGAACAGAGGUUGGAUGGCUAGCUGUUGGAGAUUCUUUACCUGUGACUCCUGCAUUGCAGGGGGUUGGACUAGAUGACCCUUGGGUCCCUUUCCAACCCUACAACUAUAUGAUUCUGUGAAAGCCUUGGCCAACCUGGUGAGCUCCAGAUGUUGCUGAACUACAACUACAACUGAUAGCCUUAACAAAACACCUGGAGGUUAUAAUCUUGGCAAAGCCUGUAUUAAACAGUAGUGCAAAUUUUACUUUUCUUCUAUACGUGUUCCUUGCUCCCCAGAGCAAGACUUCUGCAAUAAAAAUGAGGGUGGAGGGAAGAGUCCACCCUGGGAGGCAUUUUAUGCUCUUCCUUUUAACACUGAAGAGGGAAGUAGAAAAACGGGGGGGGGGGAGAGAGAGAGACUCCGCUACAUUUGCAGAGAAGGGGAACCAGGCCUCUUGCCCCAUGGAAUGACAACUCGGAUAAAAGAGGCAAGUAUCAAUGCUAUCUCCAUGGGAGCUAGCAAAAUAAUAUAAAAAAUUAAAACACAGACCAGCUGCUAUAAAAAUAGUAAGGAGAGAGGGGAGAAGAAAUUGGUUUUUUAUAUCUCAUGGAAGUUGUUUUUUAUAUCUCAUGGAAGAUGUUGGCAGCACCUAAGGGAGGGAGGGGAGAACAAGGACCUACAUCAGCCUUCCCCAACUUGGGGGCUUCCAGAUGUUUGGAGUGCAAUUCCCAUUAGUUCAUGCUAGCUGUGGCUGAUGGGAACUAUAGCUCAAAACAUCUGGAAGGCACUAGGCAAGGGGGAGGCUGAAGAGUAUAGAGGAUAGCUGGCUUGUUCCUUUUUAUCAAGGAUGGAGAACCUGUGACGUUCCAGAUGUUCAUUGACUACAACUCGCAUCAUCCCUGAUUACUGGUCAUUCUGGCGGGGAGGGGAAGUGAUGGGAGCUCAGUAAAGUUGUGGGGGGGGGGGAGCACAGGUUCCCCACUCCUGCUUUUUAGUGUUUUAAUGCCCACUGCCCAUGCUUUGUGAUCAAAAAGGGAUGCUUUGAAUUGACAUGUUUUGAAUUCCAGUGUUUUGAGUGAAAAGGAACAUCCGAAUGUAUGCCUUCCCUACGUAGUCAAAAACAGCAGUACUGUGGUUUUGCCAACUGAAAAUAAUUUUGCAGAUUGUCUCCUUAGCUUUUGGGCAUGAGAUUCCAAUAAUACAUUCUCAUAUAUAUAUCUCCCCACUUAAGCCAUACUUGCCACUCUUGAAACACAACCCCACCCGGAGGCAGAUGUAACGCCGGAUUCAAGCAGGAAGAGAUUCAGAUGUGGGAACAUCCUACUAUCAGGCCACCACAUGGCGGCAGUAGGGGGAUUUUUAAUUGAAGGUUUUAAAAGGAAAGUAAAAUUCCGCAUGUAGUGAUCAAGAGGUAAAAUGACCGAAGACAGAAACGACCAACAACGUCAGCAUGAAACAGAGAAAUUAAGAAGUCAUUUCCUAUUAGCUCCUCUGAAAUCAUCCAGACUGAUGAGUCAACAGUUAAUAAAUCAGUGUGUGCAAUAAAAAGCUAGUGUCACAAUGUGUGGCCAAAGGCCAAACACAGUUCCUAUCCUUGAUUGUACAACGGUAAAACACCCGGUUCCUGGACAGCCCUCACAGAGAUACCAUAGCAGCAGGCGGUUUGGACAGGAUCAAUAGGUCCCACUCAUUCACUCCCCCACCCCACCCCACCCCACCAGCUUGGAUGCCA